rnacentral:lncRNA from 1 species
CAGGCAUCUGCCGAGGCAGGUGAGGGCGUAGGCUCGGGGGCUAUUGUGUGAGUCCAGUGAGACGGAGCAUGUAAGCAUGUAAGCUGUCAUCCACGGACCAUUCAACAAAUACUGCUGCGUCUCUGCUCCCGGCUGCGCUGGAGGAGGCAUGUGCAGACCUUCCAUGGGUACCUUCAGGAUGAAGUCUGAGCUCCCGAUGGUUGGGCAUUCAACGUGGGAAAGAAAAGACAUCGUCUCCAUCAGUUUGGAGAAGAUUGGCUGCAGGGGCCCUGCUAUGUGCUGGGGGCAGCUGAGUCUCACAAGGGACUGAGCUCCCAGGGAAAUGCCUGGACUCCAGAGGCUGCUGUGCAGACCUGUCUGUCCCCCCGAGUCCUAGGGCUCAGGGCCCAUGGAGAUGCCCCUGGGUCAGGGACCACCGAGCAGCCCAGGCACACUGGGAGGACGUCGGCUACGAGGUGACACGGAGCCAGGAGGCUUGGGGGACUGGGGAGCACCAACUUCACUUCCCAAAGCUGAAACACAAGAGACCCCGGGGAUGCAGGCUGUUCCUGGCCUCAGUUUCCUCAUCUGUAGGCGAUCACUGAUGAUAAGCCCCGCUCGGGUAGCACCGGGCUCUGUUCUCAGCGUGUGAUGCGCAUUACAUCGUAAGGUGGGGUUCCUUCAGGCUUCCAGGUCAUGACUACAAGGUGCCUCUUCCCAAAUGCCAGCCCCCAUCUCAGCCCAUUCAACUCGGGUCGAGGGAAACCUCACCUCCUCUGCAGCCCCCGCCACAGCCACCAUCCCAGAAUCUGCGCGGAGGUCUCCAGCCUGAGGUCUGGAGCCACUGCCGUGUGCAAACCUUGGCUUCUCCAGCCCAGCCUCCUCAUCUGUAAAAUGAGGGUGAGACUUGUUCUCAUCUCCCCUGGUUGUCUUGUCGUGAGGACUCAAUGAGGUGUGAAAAGUGCUGAGGACACAGCUGACAGAGAGUGCUUCGCGAAUGCCUGGCUGUGAUUGUUAUUAAUAAAGCGCCUG